AAAUUGAAGAGUUUGAUCAUGGCUCAGAUUGAACGCUGGCGGCAGGCCUAACACAUGCAAGUCGAACGGUAGCACAGAGAGCUUGCUCUCGGGUGACGAGUGGCGGACGGGUGAGUAAUGUCUGGGAAACUGCCUGAUGGAGGGGGAUAACUACUGGAAACGGUGGCUAAUACCGCAUAACGUCGCAAGACCAAAGAGGGGGACCUUCGGGCCUCUCGCC
rnacentral:rRNA from 1 species